UAUUCAAAUAUCUUAGACCAAUUAUUAUUAAAAGAAAAUAUCUCCAGUUUCUCACAUCUCACAUAGAACAAUCUCUUCUUGUGGUAGAACAAAUCGCUAUCGACUCAAACCUUGCUGCUGAGACCACCACAGCCUGUAUGUCGAUUUCUAGGGAGCCAUGUUAUGCUAAGAAAAAUUGAGGAGGUUUGAGAUCUCAUUUUCUCUUUAUUUUUAAUCGUAGAAUUGAUUAUUGCUUUAAAGUUUCUCUUAAUUCUUUAAUGACGGUUUUGAAAUCAAAUUAACCUCAUUUUGUUUUCUUUUAUUUAUUUUGUAGUCAUAAUCAUUUUCAAUUUCAGUUAAUUUGGCAAAUUUUGCAUCCUGACAAGUGCGACAUUAUGGUUGUAUGCAAAUAUAUAUUUUUUUUAAAAAAUAUGAUUAGAUUAUUAAUUAGAUCAAUUUCUUUAGGCUGACAGUAUGAAAAGAAACGGAAAAACAAAUGGGUUUUAGUGAUAUCGAGUACAAGCGGUGGAUGCCAACUGUUUUUUAUAAUGGUAUAAUAGAAUAAGCUUGUUUAAUAUUAAGGUUGAACAGUUGUAAUUUAAAAAGUAAAGUAUACAAAGUGUUUGGUAAAUAUUAGUUGUUGUGACUUAGAAGAUAAAUUGAUUUAAUCUAAUAGUUAUGUGAUGAAAAACUCAUAAUAUAUUUAUUAUUUUUAUUAAAAUUAUUAUUUAAAGUCUUAUUUAUUAUAUAUUAUUAAUUUUUAUUUUAUAGUUACAAAUUUUUUCCACAACAGUUAUGACUUAAAAACUGUAACACUUAAAUACCUAAUAGAAUCUUAGGUGGCGUUUGUUUUUUAACUUAAUGACUUAAAGUGACUUAACUUAAUUAAUUAAGUUAAUUAGAGGUGUUUGUUUUUAUAACUUAAUGAGACUUUUUAGAUAAUUUUGACUUAAUAAAAUAAGCUAAUUUUUUUCGCCUUGGCCGUACAGCAGNNNNNNNNNNNNNNNNNNNNNNNNNNNNNNNNNNNNNNNNNNNNNNNNNUAUUUAAUAUAUUAUUUAUUUGACAUUCAAAUUUAAUAAGGAUACAAAUGUAAAAGUAUAUAUUUUCAGCUUUUUAAGUUGAAAAAAGCAAACAACUUAAUACUUAUUUUUUGAGAUUCAGACGAAAAAACAAACAUAUUAUUCAGAUUCAGACAUUCAGACCUAUUCAGAAUUCAGACUAAUUCAGGUCUAUUCAGAUUUCAGACAAAAAAAUAAACGACACCUUAGUCUCACUUUUCAAAUUCUGUAGUAUUUACUCCAACAAAUGAAUUGAGAUUUGGGUAUGAUCUGGUCAAGAUAUUGCUUGCCUCCAUCUGUGGACCCUCGUAUUUCGAAUCACAUGCCCCAUAUCAUUGAUAUGAUCAAGAAGGUAUUCCUACCGAUGAUGAUUGAAUUUUAGCUAUUACAGUUAAUAGAAAAUUAUUUUAUCUUGCAUUUUUCACAUUUGUCCAACUUUACAAUUUACAAUUAGUAAUAGAGCUGGAGCAUUAUUUGCUGGAAACAAAGGUUUUGAUGAGCCUUUACCACUCAUUACGAUACAAAAUUAAUCGGUGAGAAUCAGAAAGAGCACAGGGCUAGAUUACUUUUUUUUUUUAAUAUCCUUGCAUCUAUUCAAAAAUUUAUUCUUAUCAUCUCUUUUAUGUGAUCUUCUUAUUCUUUCUUAUUAGGCAUAUAUUCUUAGCAGAGAAUCUGUAGAGUUCUUAGGCACUAUACUGAAUUGAUUCGAAGUAUGCAUUAAGUCAGAUUUUUGUUCUUAUCUCAUUGAAUUCAUGACUCUUGGGAAUAAUAUGUUCUUUUGGCCUUUGAAAUCUACUGGGAAUAUAGUUAACAUAAUAUCUUGUAAGUGUACUUGUCAAUUGAAUUUUCUGUUGAUUUGGUUAGAUUAUACAAUUUUUGGAUUUCCUCCUAUAUCCACGUUCUUUUCUUGUUUCUAUUACUUGUUAAUUUUGUUAUUAGUUCUUCCUUUGUUGGUGAAAUAUGGAAUUAAAUAUACUCAUUUGCUCUAACACUUGGAUUUGAGGGGCAUGGUCGCUAAUUAAGGAACACUUGUUUACAUUAUUUGCGCUACAAAAUUGCUAGUCAAGAAACAAAGGUAGUUAUCAUUAAGUGUACUGCAACAAAUGAUGCCCAUUUUCCCAGUUUGCUAAUUAAAUAGCCUACAUUCAUUGUGAUUGGAGUUUCUUAUCUCAAGGGAAGCAAUUCCUUUUGUAAAUGUUGUUACCACGAAGAAUAUUUUUAAUAAAUUACUUACUUUAUCC
rnacentral:lncRNA from 1 species